UUUCCGUAGGUGAACCUGCGGAAGGAUCAUUAAUGAGUUGUCAUGGGGUUCGAUGCUGGCAGCCAAUUUUUGGAUGCAUGUGCUUGCCCUAACAAUCAUCUCCCAAACACUUGUGCACAUUUUUGAGGGAGUCUUGAGUUGGUUGCCGCUCUUGGGUGAUUUUCUCACAUUCCCUUAAAUCAUUAUACGCUAUUAACAAUGUUGAACGUGCUCUGUGCCGCAAGGCUAUUAAUAUAAUACAACUUUUAACAACGGAUCUCUUGGCUCUC
rnacentral:misc_RNA from 1 species